GUCGGGACUUUUAUUUUGAAAGGCCUUUUUUUUGUGGUGUAUAUAUGCUGCUGUGUCCUCACGCCCCCUUGGUGUCUGUCUCUCUGGGUUCAUUCCGUCUCCGAGCGGCCGUGUUUCACAACCCAGGCUGAGUGAGUGAAGAUGUUCGCGGUCAGAGCGGCGUGGCGGCGCUGUGCGGUCCGGCAGGCCCUCACGGUCCGGUCCAGCCUGAAUGGAGCCGUUGCUCCUCGGAGGCUCAUGUCGUCUGUCCCUGGCGGCACAGGCGAAAAUAUUCUGUAUGUAGUUCUGUGCGGUGGAGCUUUUGCUGGUGCCAUGGCAUAUGCCUACCAAACGGUGGCAUCAGACAGCACCCGCUUUUCUGACCGUAUGUCCGGGAUCCAGGCACGGCCCAAGGAUGACUGGAAGCCCAAACCUUGGCCACCCAAAAGCGAGGAGGAUGGCAAGGAAGAUGAUGCUGAGGAGGCAGAGGAAGCAGUUGAGGCUGUAGCAGAGGCUAAUGGAGAAGAGGCGGGACCUUUGGAGCUGGCUGCAGAAGUUAACGGAGAGGAGGCGGGCCCUGUGGAGACGGUCGCAGAGACGGUCGCAGAGACGGUCGCAGAGACGGUCGAGGUGGUUGUCGUGGAAGCAGUGGAAGAGGUGGCGGCUGUGGCUGAGGAGGCAGAGCAGGCGGAGGCUGCUGCAGAGGCACUGGAGGCUCCUGUGGUUGCUGCCCCUGCCCCAGAGGAGCCUGCAGCUGAGAGCAACGUCAGAAGUCCCAUGUUAGUUAACCCUGAUGAAGAAUGAGGGAUGUGCCUUCCCCGCCUGUCUGUCUCCUAUCUGUCACUUUGAUCUCACCUUUCCUUUGGACCAUUGGAUUCAUUGGCAGUGAUAGAGCCCUGGCUGUGACUCCUGAACAAUGCUGGUUUAUCACACUAUUCAGAUUAUGUGAAAUCUCUAUUUACAUUUAACUUUUUUAGGCAUUACUGGAACUUGUUUACUUCAGUUGAACAUACACUGCUUAACAGUCUUCAAUUACUCAGUGGAAUACAGAUUUUCUAUCUAUAUAUUUAUUCUUUUAUACACUUAUGACAGACACAGAUAGGGGAACUGUCCAACUCCUGGAUAAUUUUUGGAAUAUCUGGAUGUCUUGAUAUUUACAAUGUGAAUAUUGUGAAGGAUCGGUUAUAUUUUACCCUAUUUAGUUAGCAGUUCUGUCAUUUCUAAUCCACUGCAUCAUGGAUGGAGCUGGUGAAAGAAUUGUUUACCCUACCUCACUCUGGUUGGCCAUUCACAUUGCCAUGAUAUCAGCUGCUAUGUCAUCAGGCCAAAGACGAAAUUUUCAAAAUUCAAACAGAGCCACUAAUUUUCAGCAGUUGAGAUGUAAACAAAAGUCAUUAGAGUGAAACAGUUAAUUGUAGAGAACUUACGGACUCAGGUAUCUUUACAGUGGUGGUGAUAGGAACCGGGGUAAAGAUUUCCAAAUUACAAAUCUAGCAAUUUCACAUAUUUCUAAGUCGCUUAUUCUUAUUACCAAAACCACUUGAAAACUCUCCUGAGUUUUUGUAUGCAAUACAUUUUCUUUGGGACUGUUUUGCCUUCAGUUUCCUGAUCAUAACUCUCCACCACUCAUUUUUGAAAAAUGUUUUAGGCCAAAACCAUCUCUCAUAACUAUCUUAAAACAGUGUCUGAGGCAUCAGGCAGCAAAUUCCAAAUUAUUUCUUGUAAUCAUUUUAUGUGAGAAAAUCUUUGAGGCAAUAAGCUCUUCAAACGUCUGGUUCCUAUCACCACCACUGUGAACCAUUCUGAUUGGAAGUUUCUCUAGAGCUAAGCAUUUUAUAUAUGACCAUUCUAAAUGACCAUUUUGUCCGAUUCUUAAUCAUUUGAUUAUGCAGAUGUUUGGAAAUAUUGGUGGAAUUCCACUUUCAAGUACUGUCAUGUUUACACACCAGUCAGAGAACUUUCCAGCCCAACUCUUGGCUGUUCCUUUCUCAGGCACCUUUUGAAACAAAAUUCACUAUUUUUUUAGUCUUCAGUAAAAGCCAAAAAUGUGCAGAUAUUUCAGGAGCCUUUUUUUACACUGAGACAUAAUCAUAUUAAAACACUCCAUUAUUGGCAUGUAUAAGAAAUACUGGCCAGUUCCUACACCUUUCUACCUCACCUUAACUCUAGCUGCUGUCCUUCACAGUAUUUCUCCUAGAAAAAGAGAAAAAAAAGUCUUCUUCCUUUCACACUCCAUGAUAACCAGCAGUGGGAUAGUUUAUCUGUGGAAGGUUGAAGAUGAGAGCUGCGCUUUUACUAUUAAGCUAUUCAUUAUUCACUACAUUUUCACAACCAGCGAAGUUUCUUCCAUUUCCAGCUCAGCUUGCAUCCGCUAAUGUUAAUAUCAAAUGUUUUACACUUCUCCGAGGACCAGAAUUCAGUGUUCCUUUACCUUUUUUAAACAUCCAUUCUGUUACUAGAGGUCUCUGACCUUAGGUCAGUCUGUUGAUUGUCCAUCUACAUGUGGCCACUACUUUUAGGAGAAGCUUCUUACACUUCAGCUGCGCAGUAUUAUCCUAGUAAGGGUACCAGUAAGAGUAAAGCUUGUGUCCAGUUAUUGUUUCAGAGGCUUGUAGUCGAGGUUUUUGCUUUCCUAAGUCAACUAAAGCUUUCUAAGCCUUCGCAAUUAAAAAUUUGUUAUAGUUCUUGCAUGUGGGUCAUCUAGUAUGUAGUUUUUGGGGUUUUUUUUUGUUCAAAGAAGGGGCUCUGAAUGUAAACUUGAAUAAUGUAGUGUGGGUCUAUUCAGUGUGUCUGUCUUUGAAACUUUCCUGUUAUGGUUUGACGGAUGUGUAGUGUAGAGUUCUGUGCUAUCCUGAGCCUGGCCACUGCUUGAAUGUAGGCAGAGUAUUGUGUGUUUUAAAUAAAAAGGGAAUCAAACUUCUGUUUUUGUCCAGUACAUUUGUGUGUGUGUCACUGGCAGUGGUGAGUAUUCACUAGAUGUACUUUCAUGAGCAUCUUCAGAUGCUAAUACUUUUACUUUAAGUAUAUUUGCAAAGAAACGAAUCAACUACGUUUGACAUUUAUAGUUUUAUUUUAGACCAAAAGGAUCUCAAAAAGAGUAUAUUCGAAUGCAGAGGUUUGAACACACCCAGUCAAAUGUUUUCAUUUUCUAAGUGAAAAUACAUAAGCACAUCUAAAGAGAACAGUUAUGUAUGGCAUUUUAGCUGUAAUGUAAUGCAAAAUUGGGUAAAAAAAUGAAACUUGCCAUAACUUCUGCACAAUCCACAUUUUAUAGUUCUUUUUCUCCCAACGUGUUAAAUUCAGCAAAUAAACAGUAAUUUUGCAUUAAAAUGUGCCAGAGUGUGUUCUCUGCAGAGGAAAUGCUUGCACACUUUCACUUGGAAAAUUAACAAGAUGUGUCAUUUGACUUUUACAUACAAUUGUAUAUAUAUUAUAUGGUCUGUAGUUAGGGUGUAGAUUUAGGGUGCUGUCAGAUUGUGGCAUUUUCAGUCUCUGGUACAUCAAGUUAGACUUCAUAUGAAACAAAGAGGUCAAAAUAAGUGUGCGUGAUGCAAAAACCUCAAUAAUAAC
ensembl:lncRNA